rnacentral:lncRNA from 1 species
UAUCUCUCAUCUGGUAGUAUAACCCUUGUUCUUUCUUGCAAAGUACAGUAACCUGUACUUGCAUUUUGUUGGAUUCUGACAAUUUAACCAAAUUAUUUAGAUUAAAUGCUAACAGUAAAGUAUCUUCCUUUUUAUUUCCUGUCCCAUCGAUCUUUGUGUCAUAUGCAAAUUUAAUCAACUAAGAUUUUAUUUCAUCAUCUAGAUUGUUUAUAAGAAUGCACUGAGUACUGUUGGACCAGGAAUCUCUCCCAGGGGACCUCACUUGGAACAGCCCUGCUCACUGAUAUCUGCCAAUAAGGUGUUUUUUAAUUUAUCUAAUGUGUGCCCUGUUGAUUAAAAAUCUUGCAUUAUAGGGAAUUAAAACUGCCAUGUGACACUAUUGCAGAAGCCUUAGAGAAAUACAAAGAUGAUACAGCAACAGAGUUGCCAGACUUGCAUUGACAACAUUCUGCCUGGACAGAGCAUCAUCUCCAACACUCAUGUGCACUUGCUUUUUGCUCAAUAAAGUAGAAAGACUCAUAUUUGCUCAUAUCCUCCUUCCUCCUUCUUCUUCAUAACUACGGUCUGUAGAGAUAAAGUUCUGCAGAUUUGCUCCAAGCACAGAAUCUACAUCAACUCUAGUUUUCACAAGAAACCCUAAUGAAACUUUGGGGCUUUCUUCUUUUUUUUUUUUUUUAAUGAAUAUUUUUCAGAAAAUAAUUUCUCUGUCUCCAGAUUAGAGUGGUCAUCAUAUUUAACUUGAAAGUUAAGCACAAGUGUGGUAAAGAAAGAAAAAGUGUAGUCAAAGGAAAAUUCCAUAACUCCAAGUGAAUACCUUCAGGUGUAUCUUCAUGAUUUCAAAUAUUCCAACUGACUUCAGCAUGUGAUAUUAUCACUUGCACAGCUGAGGUUUUUAUGCAGUAUUUCAAUGGAGUUGAUCUUCAGAUGCACUAAAAACUGUGUCUUUGGAAGACUGCCUCUAGAUGUAGGAAUUCAAAUCUAAGUUUUAACCUCAAGAACUCUGCUCAGUUUUCCGCUAGUCCUAGGGACAUUUACCUUAACUACUUUUCAGUAGCUAAGUCAUUCCCAGUCUUUUCAAGAAUUUAGCACUUGCAAGUAUGUUAAUGUGCCACCUUAGGGCCCAUGAUAGCUGAUGUCAUAAGAGUUUCUGAACUGGCUACUCUUAACUUCUGGGAAAUCAGAUGAUGGAA